rnacentral:tRNA from 1 species
GGGUCGAUACUCGAGCGAUUAAUAAGGACGAGCUGUAAAUUCGUUGGUAAUAUGUUUAUGCUGGUUCAAAUUCAGCUCGGCACA